rnacentral:rRNA from 1 species
GACGAACGCUGGCGGCGUGCCUAAUACAUGCAAGUAGAACGCUGAAGGAAGGAGCUUGCUCUUUCUGGAUGAGUUGCGAACGGGUGAGUAACGCGUAGGUAACCUGCCUGGUAGCGGGGGAUAACUAUUGGAAACGAUAGCUAAUACCGCAUAAAAUUGAUUAUUGCAUGAUAGUCAAUUAAAAGGUGCAACUGCACCACUACCAGAUGGACCUGCGUUGUAUUAGCUAGUUGGUGGGGUACCGGCUCACCAAGGCGACGAUACAUAGCCGACCUGAGAGGGUGAUCGGCCACACUGGGACUGAGACACGGCCCAGACUCCUACGGGAGGCAGCAGUAGGGAAUCUUCGGCAAUGGACGGAAGUCUGACCGAGCAACGCCGCGUGAGUGAAGAAGGUUUUCGGAUCGUAAAGCUCUGUUGUAAGAGAAGAACGAGUGUGAGAGUGGAAAGUUCACACUGUGACGGUAUCUUACCAGAAAGGGACGGCUAACUACGUG